CCUACGGGAGGCAGCAGUAGGGAAUCUUCCACAAUGGACGAAAGUCUGAUGGAGCAACGCCGCGUGAGUGAAGAAGGUUUUCGGAUCGUAAAACUCUGUUGUUGAAGAAGAACAUGCGUGAGAGUAACUGUUCAUGUAUUGAGGGUAUUCAACCAGAAAGCCACGGCUAACUACGUGCCAGCAGCCGCGG
rnacentral:rRNA from 1 species